GACGAACGCUGGCGGCGUGCUUAACACAUGCAAGUCGAACGGAAAGGCCCCUUUGGGGGUACUCGAGUGGCGAACGGGUGAGUAACACGUGAGUAACCUGCCCUUGACUUCGGGAUAACUUCAGGAAACUGGGGCUAAUACCGGAUAGGAAUCCUUGCUGCAUGGUGGGGGUUGGAAAGCUUCGGCGGUUUUGGAUGGACUCGCGGCUUAUCAGCUUGUUGGUGGGGUAGUGGCUUACCAAGGCUUUGACGGGUAGCCGGCCUGAGAGGGCGACCGGCCAUAUGGGGACGGGGAGACGGCCAAGCCUCCUAGGGGGGGAAGAAGGGGGGAAUUUUGAAAAAGGGGCGGAGGCCGGAUGCAGCACCCCGGGGGGGGGGAUGAGGGCUUGGGGGUGGAAACCGGUUUACAGGGGGGGCGAGGCUGGUGGUGAGGGUACCUGAAGAAAAAGCCCCGGCUAACUACGUG
rnacentral:rRNA from 1 species